GCGGCCAUUAAGUUGUUGUGGUUUUCUAUACCCAUUUAUGUCUUUAAGUGGUUCAUUUAUCCCUCAUGUCUUUUAGCCACUGUGUGAUAGAUAAUUAACUUGAUACACAUAUGCAAUGACCAAACAGCGUAGUAUUUCAGUACCUUUACAGAUUUGUUAUUUCUUUAUGAUGCCAACGUUCAUGCUCUUACAAGAUAUACGAUAAACUCUUGGUAUUCAGAGCCACCUUCCCUUUUGUUCUUGUGCUGUAGGGGAGCAGCACAGAUUCUUUCUAGGUACUGUGCCAGCCAUUUCUAACACUGGCCCCCAGCCAUUUCUAACACUGGCCCUCAGUCUACCUAGCUUAAGGGGGGCGUUUGGAGUCUUGAAUUCUUUGAGAAGCAUACAGAUCAACAGGUCUUUAGUUAACAAUACAACCAAGCUUGACCUGUCUCUAGGAGCUCCAAUAGCAUGGGUACCAUUGCUUUAGAAUUACACCAACAUGCUACCCUUUCUGUCUGUCUCUUUCCCAGAUUCACUCACAAGAAGCAGAUGCUGAGAAUUCUAACUUACAGACUGGAAGCAUAUUUUUUUCCCAGCAGCAUCUUGAAGCAGAAGAUUGAGGAAACAGAUAAAAAUCACAAGUCUGACCUGAGCUCAACCCCGACCCUUUUCUACUUCUGGCUGUGGGAACUUGCUCAAGUAAGAGUUUCCUCACCCAUAAAAUGGAACAAUAGUAUCUACAUUAUAAGAGUGAGGAUUUGGCAUUCAUGAAGGCCCUUUUUUGGACAGAGGCAUAAUCAACAUGAGCAUUAGAUGUUGUUAUUCCUUUCUUCC